UCAUAUAAAGGAAGCCCUGGAUUUCAGGACAGCUGCUGGAAUUCAAGAAAUUCUGCACAGGGGAGAAGAACAGACGGCCAUCUGGAAAAUCUGUUGCCGCUCAGCUGUGUGUCUUUCUCACCUGUAACAUCUGUGACUGUGGGAUAGAGCCAUUCGAUUCUUGACACCACGCUACCAUCUGCUCUGGAAAGAAGUUCUACAGGAGCAUUUGCUUCAAGGCAUGAACCAAACCAACCAACUCCAAGGUCAAUCAGAUACAUUUUCAUCUGAAGUGAUUUCCAUUUCCAUGGUUACAACGACU